rnacentral:rRNA from 1 species
GACGAACGCUGGCGGCGUGCUUAACACAUGCAAGUCGAACGGAAAGGCCCUGCGUUUGUGGGGUGCUCGAGUGGCGAACGGGUGAGUAACACGUGAGUAACCUGCCCUUGACUUUGGGAUAACUUCAGGAAACUGGGGCUAAUACCGGAUAGGAGCUCCUGCUGCAUGGUGGGGGUUGGAAAGUUUCGGCGGUUGGGGAUGGACUCGCGGCUUAUCAGCUUGUUGGUGGGGUAGGGGCUUACCAAGGCUUUGACGGGUAGCCGGCCUGAGAGGGUGACCGGCCACAUUGGGACUGAGAUACGGCCCAGACUCCUACGGGAGGCAGCAGUGGGGAAUAUUGCACAAUGGGCGGAAGCCUGAUGCAGCAACGCCGCGUGCGGGAUGACGGCCUUCGGGUUGUAAACCGCUUUCGCCUGUGACGAAGCGUGAGUGACGGUAAUGGGUAAAGAAGCACCGGCUAACUACGUG